rnacentral:sRNA from 1 species
UUUCACAAGUAUCUGUGCAGGGGGGCUAGACUGGCCUUUGAAAGUGCAUACAGGGUCCAUCCCAGAAGCCUUGUAGCUUUGAUAUCCUGAAUGAAGAAAGUGUGGACAUGCCAAUACACAUUACUGACAUGUAUGCCCACCUGACCUGCACCCACUCAUGCCCACUCUGCAGGGCAGCGCUCGGCAUUGAAUGACUUCCAGGUGCUCCGGGGCACAGAGCUACAGCACCUGCUACAUGCGGUGGUGCCCGGGCCUUGGCAGGAGGAUGUGGCAGAUGCUGAAGAGUGUGCUGGUCGCUGUGGGCCCUUAAUGGACUGCCGGGCCUUCCACUACAAUGUGAGCAGCCAUGGUUGCCAACUGCUGCCAUGGACUCAACACUCGCCCCACACGAGGCUGCGGCGUUCUGGGCGCUGUGACCUCUUCCAGAAGAAAGGUACACGCCCACGCUCCGGAAUGGCCUGGAAGAAAACUUCUGCCGUAACCCUGAUGGCGACCCCGGAGGUCCUUGGUGCUACACAACAGACCCUGCCGUGCGCUUCCAGAGCUGCGGCAUCAAAUCCUGCCGGGAGGCCGCGUGUGUCUGGUGCAAUGGCGAGGA